rnacentral:rRNA from 1 species
GAUGAACGCUGGCGGCGUGCCUAAUACAUGCAAGUCGAGCGAACGGACGAGAAGCUUGCUUCUCUGAUGUUAGCGGCGGACGGGUGAGUAACACGUGGAUAACCUACCUAUAAGACUGGGAUAACUUCGGGAAACCGGAGCUAAUACCGGAUAAUAUUUUGAACCGCAUGGUUCAAAAGUGAAAGACGGUCUUGCUGUCACUUAUAGAUGGAUCCGCGCUGCAUUAGCUAGUUGGUAAGGUAACGGCUUACCAAGGCAACGAUGCAUAGCCGACCUGAGAGGGUGAUCGGCCACACUGGAACUGAGACACGGUCCAGACUCCUACGGGAGGCAGCAGUAGGGAAUCUUCCGCAAAGGGCGAAAGCCUGACGGAGCAACGCCGCGUGAGUGAUGAAGGUCUUCGGAUCGUAAAACCCUGUUAUUAGGGAAGAACAUAUGUGUAAGUAACUGUGCACAUCUUGACGGUACCUAAUCAGAAAGCCACGGCUAACUACGUG